GCCGGGCGCAGUGGCUCACGCCUGUAAUCCCAGCACUUUGGGAGGCUGAGGCGGGUGGAUCACCUGAGGUCAGGAGUUCAAGACCAGCCUGGCCAACAUGGUGAAACCCCGUCUCUA
rfam:Papio anubis isolate 1X1155 chromosome 11, whole genome shotgun sequence.